rnacentral:rRNA from 1 species
ACGGGUGAGUAAUAUAUCGGAACGUACCCAAGAGUGGGGGAUAACGUAGCGAAAGUUACGCUAAUACCGCAUACGAUCUAAGGAUGAAAGCAGGGGAUCUUCGGACCUUGUGCUCCUGGAGCGGCCGAUAUCUGAUUAGCUAGUUGGUGGGGUAAAGGCCCACCAAGGCAACGAUCAGUAGCUGGUCUGAGAGGACGACCAGCCACACUGGAACUGAGACACGGUCCAGACUCCUACGGGAGGCAGCAGUGGGGAAUUUUGGACAAUGGGGGCAACCCUGAUCCAGCAAUGCCGCGUGAGUGAAGAAGGCCUUCGGGUUGUAAAGCUCUUUUGUCAGGGAAGAAAAGGGUCUGGCUAAUAUCCAGGCCUGCUGACGGUACCUGAAGAAUAAGCACCGGCUAACUACGUGCCAGCAGCCGCGGUAAUACGUAGGGUGCAAGCGUUAAUCGGAAUUACUGGGCGUAAAGCGUGCGCAGGCGGUUUCGUAAGUCUGUCGUGAAAUCCCCGGGCUUAACCUGGGAAUGGCGAUGGAGACUGCGAGGCUAGAGUUUGGCAGAGGGGGGUAGAAUUCCACGUGUAGCAGUG